rnacentral:lncRNA from 1 species
CCUCAAAAAGAUAUUUGCCCUCAAGGUAAGACGUAUCCUAAAAAUGCAGCUGCUAUAGUUAAUAAUAACAUUAUUGUUCCUGUCAUUCAAGUUGGUUUAAAGUUGAAUGAUCCAAAAAAUAUUCCUCGUCCGAUAUCCAGUCACUCCGUAGAAU